rnacentral:lncRNA from 1 species
UCAGUUUCCCUCUUUAAGGAAGAAAGGAAAGUGUUUUCCUGGAUACUAGAUAUGCUGAGUUGGGACAGGAGCUAAGGAUAGAGGUGAGGAAACCCGCAGACAACAGCGACAUGCUCCUCAUCUUUGAGUCCCAGCGAACCUUUCCACUGUGUGUGUGUGUACGUAUAUCUGUGUAUAAGUGGUGGUGGGACAGAGGUUGGGUGGGUAGGAUGGUGGGAUGUUGGGAUUGCUGAGUGGGAAUAGGCAGUGGGAAUGUCAAAAGUAUUUUUGUUGUUGUUGUUUGAAACAGGAUCUCACUCUGUUCCCCAGGCUGGAAUGCAGUUAACUGAUCACCUGCAGGCUUGAACUCCAGGGUUCAAGCGAUCCUCCUACUUCAGCCUCCUGAGCAGCUAAGGACUACAGGAACUGCUUCCUGUCUGACCCACUGCAGUGGUGGAGAGGAUCAAGGGAAAUAAUGAUCAUGGAUGUGCUUAGGAGACGUAAGGUGAGAUACACCAUCAUGGAGCUGUCUCUGCUCUCCCUGUCCCUUCAGUGUGCAUGGUCCAUACCACUCAGUCAUUCCUUACCCACUCUACAGAUUUUACUAAGAAUUGCUGUGAGCUGGGCACCCUUCUACGCUCUGCAGACACCAUGGCUAGUAAGACAGGCAAAGACCUGCCAUCUGGAGCUUGUUUGGAUAUAGGGUAGGGGGACGGGGAGAAGGGAGAUAAACAAUAAACAAGUAAAUUUACACUCUUUUAUUGUGAAUCAUCCUUUCACUGGUCUUGUCUUAACUCCAUGAACACAG